GCACGAGCGCACCCUUGCCCUAUGUUGCCAGCGGAUCAUGCCGGGGACUCAUGGGGAACUGCCGGUGAUAAACCGGGGGAAGGUGGGGACGACGUCAAGUCAUCAUGGCCCUUACGCCCAGGGCUACACACGUGCUACAAUGGCCGGCACAAAGGGCUGCCAACCUGCGAGGGUGAGCGAAUCCCAAAAAGCCGGUCUAAGUUCGGAUUGUAGUCUGCAACUCGACUGCAUGAAGUCGGAAUCGCUAGUAAUCGUGUAUCAGCCACGACACGGUGAAUACGUUCCCGGGCCUUGUACACACCGCCCGUCAAGCCAUGGAAGCCGGGAGUGCCCGAAGUCUGUGACCCAACCUCGUGGGGGAGCAGCCGAAGGUAAGUUCGGUGACUGGGGCUAAGUCGUAACAAGGUAGCCGUAGGGGAACCUGCGGCUGGAUCACCUCCUUU
rnacentral:rRNA from 1 species